UAAUAAGUGUUUUAUGGCACUUUUUAAAUCCAUAUCCACCUUGUGUGCAAUGUCAGUCGAUCUUCUUCAUGGAGAUCUACCAAACAUCAACCUUUAUCUUUUAACUCUUUGUCUUAAAAAUAUUAUGAAUAAACAAUUCAAAAUA
rnacentral:misc_RNA from 1 species